AACGUAGGUUCCGAGCGUUAUCCGGAUUUACUGGGCGUAAAGCGCGUUCAGGCGGUUUGGCAAGUCGGGCAUGAAAUCUCUCGGCUCAACCGGGAGAGGUUGUCCGAUACUUCCAGACUUGAGGGCAGUAGAGGGUGGUGGAAUUCCCGGUGUAGCGGUGAAAUGCGCAGAUAUCGGGAAGAACACCCGUGGCGAAGGCGGUUCUCUGGGACGGUACUGACGCUGAGACGCGAAAGCGUGGGGAGCGAACAGG
rnacentral:rRNA from 1 species